rnacentral:tRNA from 1 species
GUCCCUGUAGAUCAACGGUCAGAUCGUCAGGCUUUCAACCUGGAGACCGGGGUUCAACUCCCCGCAGGGAUACCA